GCCAGACCUAUGUACCAGCUCCAGGGUGGUCCUCUUAGCCCCCUUCUGACUUCAUUUUUCUGCAAGAAGUAGUUACUUUUGAGGCCACUGGGUUUUUGUCUGUGUUUGGAGUCUUCAUUAUCUUCCCCGCAGUCCUCUUCCACUUCAUCAACAAGAAGCUCUGCUUUGAAAAGAGAGGUGGACUCCCAUGUCUGGAACAACAAGGGAGAAGAAAACACUACAAAGAAAAGCCCAGAGUUCAUGAGGGCCUUGUGACAAAAGAAGUGCAUCUUUCUAAAACAGUGAUGUGAUAAAGAUGUCUUCUGAUCUUUGCAAGCUGGGAGCUGAUUUCCUCUUCUCGUGUCUCUAUAUGGGACGGUACAUUCCCAGGCAGAGAGGUGAGGCUUCGGAUUUCUUCCUCAUCUAGUGUUUUGGAAAUAAGCACUUGCUUGAAAAUUCUUCAGUUAUAUACU
rnacentral:lncRNA from 1 species